rnacentral:lncRNA from 1 species
CUUGAGCAUUGGAAACUCAUCACCAUUUACCUAUCGUCACAAUCUGGGAGGAAGAUACCUUACGGCCAGGGAAAAGGAGGACCAUUUGCCUUUACCCAGGAGAAUUCUGUUGAAGCUACAGAGGUAAGUUGCCCUAUCUAAGCUUCUCGGGUUUGGUCUUAUGCGAAUGUCUGUUCCCCUAUUGCAUGCCAUGCCUGAAUAUGAAUGAAUGGUGCUUGAUUAAUAAUAUAGUUGUGUUCUCUUCAUGGCAUCAUCGUUUAAUCAAAUACCUGCAAGAUUCAUCAUGUAUCACUAACAGUAGAGACUAGGUACAUGUUCUCCAACAUCAUGAUUUCAAUACCCCUCUACUUGUACCCAGAAAACACUAUAGAAAAAUGUAGAAGCAAAAUUAGAUGCAUUUCCAAAAUAGAAAAGAACAGAAAACCGAAACAACUUCCUCUCUAGCCAAACCAUAAGUCUUCUUCAAUCUGAACAGACACAGAUUCAUCACGUCCCUACUCCAUAUGCCC